rnacentral:rRNA from 1 species
AGCGAACGCUGGCGGCAGGCCUAACACAUGCAAGUCGAACGAACCUUUCGGGGUUAGUGGCGGACGGGUGAGUAACACGUGGGAACGUGCCUUUAGGUUCGGAAUAACUCAGGGAAACUUGUGCUAAUACCGAAUGUGCCCUUCGGGGGAAAGAUUAAUCGCCUUUAGAGCGGCCCGCGUCUGAUUAGCGAGUUGGUUGAGGUAAUGGCUCACCCAGGCGACGAUCAGUAGCUGGUCUGAGAGGAUGAUCAGCCACAUUGGGACUGAGACACGGCCCAAACUCCUACGGGAGGCAGCAGUGGGGAAUCUUGCGCAAUGGGCGAAAGCCUGACGCAGCCAUGCCGCGUGAAUGAUGAAGGUCUUAGGAUUGUAAAAUUCUUUCACCGGGGACGAUAAUGACGGUACCCGGAGAAGAAGCCCCGGCUAACUUCGUG